CACCAUCUGGAUUUCUCUGUGUUCUAUAGAUACUCAGGGCACAGCAGAACACAGUCAAACAUCAAAACAUCCUUAUCACAUGCACACACUGAGCUCAGGAAGCAACCACAUACACUGCUCUGGUGCAGAGUAGAGGAAACUCAGGACCUGCACAGUUGUCAGCUCUCAAAAUCUCUCUUCCUGCGCUCCCCAGGCUCAGGCCGCUCUGAGAUCUGCCGUUGGACUGACGAUGCCACAGACUACCCAGCAUUCCCUCAUUCAUGUCCUCCUUUUGUGGAUCAGCAUCCUCUCCAUCAUCCAGGUUGUGUUCAUCACCCUUUUCUUCACAACAGGACAUCACAGCUGGUCUUGGAACAGUAGCACUGUAGCUCCAGCGCGCCCCAUGCAAUUCCAGGCUAACAAUACGCCCUCGGCCCCCUCUGAGCAUAGGCUUCUCACAGGAAAAGUUGAAAUGCUCACCUUUAAGGCAACUGAAGACAACAGGAAAAUCACAUGGGAAACAAGGAAUCAAGAUCAAAUCCUGGUUUCAGAGGAAGAAGGAGGAAAAUUUCUGAAAAUAAAGAAGGAUGGAUAUUUCUUCCUAAGUCUUCAGGUGACGCUGUCUUCAUGUAAUCAUACAUUGGGAUACACAGUCAGGCUGAAAUCAAAUGACAAAGACAUCCUGCAUGGCUGGAUCAACACUAUCACUUGCAGCACUGGUCUCCUCGGGAAGGUGGAGGAGCUAUCGGCAAAUGACAUCCUGGAGGUCAUCAUCAACUGGCCAAACACAGAUAGUAUCAUUGAUGAAAGAAAAUAUCUUACCCACUUCAAUAUCGUAUUCUUGCCAAGGAAUUAGAUGUUAUAUAUUAUAAAUAUUAUAAUCUCAAAUAUUAAUCUAUAUAUGAAAUCCUUUGCAUGUCUCAGGGCAUCUGUCGAGCUGUGGGACCUGCACAGCUGGUAGAAUGAACUCUUGUUCUUUUGUUACCUCACAGUCUUCUGUCUUUGCUUUAGCAUCAACAGACACAAACUCAGCUGUUUUGUACUAUAGAAAGAAUAUGAAGUAUACUGUUGGAUAUACCAUGGGUGAUAAUUGUUAUUGCUGAGGUGAUCAAGGUGAUCAAGGAGGACAUUUUUUGUGAAGUGUUUCUAGUGUAUCUACUUCAUUGUCCCCCUUUUUGGAGUUUCUAAUAUCUAAAAUGUUUAGGAGUUAAAAGCAACUUUGUAAUCUUAAGUUCCACAUCUACUGGCAGAACUUUGUUAUUUGCACCACAGCUUUUAUUUGCGACUUGCUGAUUUCUUUUUCUUUAUUUGUUUUGAACUGUGUGAAUUAUAUAUUUAUGUUGAAUGUAUUUAUUGUUUGGACCUUGAAUAUAUAACACCUACUGUAUUUAAAAAAAUUCCAUGGGCUUGUCAGCAAUUAACCAAUGAAUGUAUGUCACUGUGUGGCACAGUAUGUCAUUGUGUGGCAUGCAUCUCUUGUAAGUGAUUCACUAGAAUGAAUGACACUGUUUUUGUUGUUAAGGAUUGUACUAACAUAGCUAAAAUAAUACAAACUAGAGGACAUGGCCUGAAAGUGCCACAAUAACUUUUGUUAUUUAAGACAUGUGCCAUGACAUCAUGGUCAUUUUACAAUCUGUAGAAGUUAUGUAAACUACUGGUGUAGUAAACAGGAAGCACAUUUGUGACGACCCCUCCCUCUCUACUCUGUGUAAUUCUAUUUUCAUGAUCUGAACAUAAAAUGAAACAGAAAAGACCAAAAAUAAACUCCAAAUCUUCUCUUUCCUGUAUCACACAAUAUGACAAGUAAAAUCAUGACUUGUGGUUGUUUAUAUGGAAAGUUUUAGAGAAUUUUUAGGUUUUGUCAAAGAUUUGCAGUUGUUAUUAAUGCAACAAGUAACUAGUUGCACACUGGAUGGUGUACUGUAUGAACAUUCAUUUUAUUAUAAAUCUAAACUUUACA